AGAUUGAACGCUGGCGGCAUGCCUAACACAUGCAAGUCGAACGGGAGUAGCAAUACUCUAGUGGCGGACGGGUGAGGAAUACGUAGGAAUUUGCCCUUAAGUGGGGGAUAACCCGGGGAAACCCGGAUUAAUACCGCAUGACCUCGAAAGAGCAAAGUGGGGGAUCGCAAGACCUCACGCUUUUGGAGAAGCCUACGUCGGAUUAGCUAGUUGGUGAGGUAAUGGCUCACCAAGGCGACGAUCCGUAACUGGUCUAAGAGGAUGAUCAGUCACACCGGAACUGAGACACGGUCCGGACUCCUACGGGAGGCAGCAGUGGGGAAUAUUGGACAAUGGGCGCAAGCCUGAUCCAGCAAUGCCGCGUGUGUGAAGAAGGCCUUCGGUGUAAGCACUUAAGUUGGAAGAAAAACUACGCCCUAACACAGUGAGUCUUGACGGUACCGACAGAAUAAGCACCGGCUAACUCUGUGCCAGCACGCCGC
rnacentral:rRNA from 1 species